rnacentral:tRNA from 1 species
GGGUCCUUGGGGAGCAGUUCCUCGGCCAGCUGCCAGCUGCCCCAGCGGGUGCCCAUCCCGAGGACGCCC